rnacentral:tRNA from 1 species
CGAGUGUUGGUGUAAACGCACGGCAGCUUUGGGAGCUGAUGGACAGGUCUCAAUCCUGACACUCGA